rnacentral:rRNA from 1 species
GACGAACGCUGGCGGCGUGCUUAACACAUGCAAGUCGAACGGAGUGGCGAACGGGUGAGUAACACGUGGGUGAUCUGCCUUGCACUUCGGGAUAAGCCUUGGAAACGGGGUCUAAUACCGGAUAAACGGGGAUGGGCUCGUGGCCUAUAAGGUUGUUGGUGGGGGAAUGGCCUACCAAGGCGGUGCCGGGUAGCCGGCCGGAGAGGGUGACCGGGCACGUUGGGACGGAGAUACGGCCCAGACGCCUACGGGGGGGAGAAGUGGGGGAUAUUGGACAAUGGGCGAAAGCGUGAUGCAGCGACGCCGCGUGGGGGAUGAAGGUUUUCGGGUUGUAAACCUGUUUCGGUAGCGAACGGGUAGGUGGAGAAGAAGCGCCGGCUAACUACGUGCCAGCAGCCGCGGUAAUUC